rnacentral:tRNA from 1 species
GAGGGUAUAGCUCAGUGGUAGGGCGCAUGCUUAGUGUGCAUGAGGUCCUGGGUUCAUUCCCCAGUACCUCCA